rnacentral:rRNA from 1 species
UACGUAGGGUGCAAGCGUUAAUCGGAAUUACUGGGCGUAAAGCGUGCGCAGGCGGCUAUGUAAGACAGGUGUGAAAUCCCCGGGCUUAACCUGGGAACUGCAUUUGUGACUGCAUAGCUAGAGUACGGCAGAGGGGGAUGGAAUUCCGCGUGUAGCAGUGAAAUGCGUAGAUAUGCGGAGGAACACCGAUGGCGAAGGCAAUCCCCUGGGCCUGUACUGACGCUCAUGCACGAAAGCGUGGGGAGCAAACAGG